rnacentral:rRNA from 1 species
AUUGAACGCUGGCGGCAUGCUUCACACAUGCAAGUCGAACGGUAACAGGCCGCAAGGUGCUGACGAGUGGCGAACGGGUGAGUAAUGCAUCGGAACGUGCCCAGUCGUGGGGGAUAACGCAACGAAAGCUGCGCUAAUACCGCAUACGAUCUAUGGAUGAAAGCGGGGACCGUAAGGCCUCGCGCGAUUGAAGCGGCCGAUGUCAGAUUAGGUAGUUGGUGGGGUAAAGGCCCACCAAGCCAACGAUCUGUAGCUGGUCUGAGAGGACGACCAGCCACACUGGGACUGAGACACGGCCCAGACUCCUACGGGAGGCAGCAGUGGGGAAUUUUGGACAAUGGGCGCAAGCCUGAUCCAGCAAUGCCGCGUGCAGGAAGAAGGCCUUCGGGUUGUAAACUGCUUUUGUACGGAACGAAACGGUUCUCUCUAAUACAGGGGGCUAAUGACGGUACCGUAAGAAUAAGCACCGGCUAACUACGUGCCAGCCGCCGCCGUAAAAC